rnacentral:rRNA from 1 species
AAAAUUUGAUAGUAAUAUACAACUACUGUCCGCCAGGGUACUACGAGCGCUAGCUUAAAACCCAAAGGACUUGGCGGUGCCUCAGACCCACCUAGAGGAGCCUGUUCUAGAACCGAUAAUCCCCGUUUAACCUCACCUCCCCUGGUUAUUCCCGCCUAUAUACCGCCGUCGUCAGCAUACCCUAUGAAGGAAAUAAAGUAUGCAAAAUGGGUAGUUCCCAAAACGUCAGGUCGAGGUGUAGCGCAUGAGGAGGGAAGAAAUGGGCUACAUUCCCUAAAUUAGGGCACACGAAAGAGGCUGUGAAAUCAGCCCCUGAAGGUGGAUUUAGCAGUAGAUGAGAACUAGAGAGUCUU